rnacentral:rRNA from 1 species
CCAGACUCCUACGGGAGGCAGCAGUGGGGGAUAUUGCACAAUGGGGGAAACCCUGAUGCAGCGACGCCGCGUGGGCGAAGAAGUAUUUCGGUAUGUAAAGCCCUAUCAGCAGGGAAGAAGAAAUGACGGUACCUGAGUAAGAAGCACCGGCUAAAUACGUGCCAGCAGCCGCGGUAAUACGUAGGGGGCGAGCGUUAUCCGGAUUCACUGGGUGUAAAGGGAGCGUAGACGGCCAUGCAAGCCAGGGGUGAAAGCCCGGGGCCCAACCCCGGGACUGCCCUUGGAACUGCAUGGCUGGAGUGCGGGAGGGGCAGGCGGAAUUCCUGGUGUAGCGGUGAAAUGCGUAGAUAUCAGGAGGAACACCGGCGGCGAAGGCGGCCUGCUGGACCGCGACUGACGUUGAGGCUCGAAAGCGUGGGGAGCGAACAAGAUUAGAUACCCUCGUACA